UUCUUGCAUCAUAGUAGAUCUCAGGUAAGUUUUAAUCAGUUUGAGCUUAGAGAAGCUUCUUUCAGCAGCAGCCACUGUAACAGGAAGAGUGGCAGAGAUUCUCAAAGCAACCCACAUGUUGGGGUAAAUUUCUGCCAGCUUCUUCUCAUGCAGGAAGGUCAAAAGUUCCAUGUUUGUCAUAUUGUUUGAUGGCAAUGGUGGGAAAUUCUUCAUUUCCUUUGCAAGUUCUGUGCCAUCAAUGUCCGGCUGGCUGUCAUGGGUCAGAGCAGUACUUAGGAUUAGAGAUGACAAAUGUUCUCCUGUUGACUGCUCUGCCACAAGAAAGCCCAAGAAAUGCUCUUUUACUUGAGGAAUGUCUUCUUGUGACACUAUCCUGACUAUGACAGAGAGCUGUUCCUUAUGACUCAGAUCAGGGGUGCAGUCUAAAAUGAUGGAGAAAUAUUUGGAUAUUUUGAUCUCUGUCACAAUGUGUUCUAUUAUUUUAGAACUGAUGGAGUCUAUCAGUUCAUUUUGGAUUGUUUUGCCAAGAUAAUGUACAUGACUGCCAGCUCCACUUUCCACCCUACUGACAUGCUGCUUCAUCACUGGAUCAAAUUUGGCCAUAAGCUCCACCUCUUUCAGGAAAUUUCCAUUGUCUGG